rnacentral:rRNA from 1 species
CGCGGCCUAUCAGCUUGUUGGUGAGGUAACGGCUCACCAAGGCAUCGACGGGUAGCUGGUCUGAGAGGACGAUCAGCCACACUGGGACUGAGACACGGCCCAGACUCCUACGGGAGGCAGCAGUAGGGAAUCUUGCGCAAUGGGCGAAAGCCUGACGCAGCAACGCCGCGUGGGGGAUGAAUGCCUUCGGGUUGUAAACCCCUUUCAGCAGGGACGAAAAUGACGGUACCUGCAGAAGAAGCUCCGGCCAACUACGUGCCAGCAGCCGCGGUAAUACGUAGGGUGCGAGCGUUGUCCGGAAUUAUUGGGCGUAAAGAGCUCGUAGGCGGUCUGUCGCGUCUGCUGUGAAAACCCGAGGCUCAACCUCGGGCCUGCAGUGGGUACGGGCAGACUAGAGUGCGGUAGGGGAGAUUGGAAUUCCUGGUGUAGCGGUGGAAUGCGCAGAUAUCAGGAGGAACACCGAUGGCGAAGGCAGAUCUCUGGGCCGUAACUGACGCUGAGGAGCGAAAGCGUGGGGAGCGAACAGGAUUAGAUACCCUGGUAGUCCACGCCGUAAACGGUGGGAACUAGAUGUGGGGUCCGUUCCACGGAUUCCGUGUCGCAGCUAACGCAUUAAGUUCCCCGCCUGGGGAGUACGG